rfam:Luteococcus japonicus LSP_Lj1 genome assembly, contig: Scaffold19
CCUGGUCCUCGGUAGUGGUUCUCGGGUCAGCGCGUCCACGUCGACGCCGACGCCCCGCGAGCCUCGAUCGAAGACCGGC